rnacentral:rRNA from 1 species
UACCAGCACCCCGAGUUGUCGGGACGAUUAUUGGGCCUAAAGCAUCCGUAGCCUGUUCUGCAAGUCCUCCGUUAAAUCCACCCGCUUAACGGAUGGGCUGCGGGGGAUACUGCAGAGCUAGGAGGCGGGAGAGGCAAACGGUACUCAGUGGGUAGGGGUAAAAUCCAUUGAUCUACUGAAGACCACCAGUGGCGAAGGCGGUUUGCCAUGAACGCCGCUCGACGGUGAGGGAUGAAAGCUGGGGGAGCGAACCGG